AUUGAACGCUGGCGGCAUGCCUUACACAUGCAAGUCGAACGGCAGCACGGGAGUAAUCCUGGUGGCGAGUGGCGAACGGGUGAGUAAUACAUCGGAACGUGCCCAGUAGUGGGGGAUAGCCCGGCGAAAGCCGGAUUAAUACCGCAUACGACCUACGGGUGAAAGCGGGGGAUCGCAAGACCUCGCGCUAUCGGAGCGGCCGAUGUCAGAUUAGGUUGUUGGUGGGGUAAAGGCCACCAAGCCGACGAUCUGUAGCUGUCUGAGAGGACGACCAGCCACACUGGGACUGAGACACGGCCAGACUCCUACGGGAGGCAGCAGUGGGGAAUUUUGGACAAGUGGGGCAACCCUGAUCCAGCCAUGCCG
rnacentral:rRNA from 1 species